GAUGAACGCUGGCGGCGUGCCUAAUGCAUGCAAGUCGAGCGAACGGACGAGAAGCUUGCUUCUCUGAUGUUAGCGGCGGACGGGUGAGUAACACGUGGAUAACCUACCUAUAAGACUGGGAUAACUUCGGGAAACCGUAGCUAAUACCGGAUAAUAUUUUGAACCGCAUGGUUCAAAAGUGAAAGACGGUCUUGCUGUCACUUAUAGAUGGAUCCGCGCUGCAUUAGCUAGUUGGUAAGGUAACGGCUUACCAAGGCAACGAUGCAUAGCCGACCUGAGAGGGUGAUCGGCCACACUGGAACUGAGACACGGUCCAGACUCCUACGGGAGGCAGCAGUAGGGAAUCUUCCGCAAUGGGCGAAAGCCUGACGGAGCAACGCCGCGUGAGUGAUGAAGGUCUUCGGAUCGUAAAACUCUGUUAUUAGGGAAGAACAUAUGUGUAAGUAACUGUGCACAUCUUGACGGUACCUAAUCAGAAAGCAACGGCUAACUACGUG
rnacentral:rRNA from 1 species